UACGGAGGGUGCGAGCGUUAUCCGGAAUCACUGGGCGUAAAGGGUGCGUAGGCGGGUCUUUUAAGUCAGGGGGUGAAAUCCUGGAGCUCAACUCCAGAACUGCCUUUGAUACUGAAGAUCUUGAGUUCGGGAGAGGUGAGUGGAACUGCGAGUGUAGAGGUGAAAUUCGUAGAUAUUCGCAAGAACACCAGUGGCGAAGGCGACACACUGGCCCGUUACUGACGCUGAGGCGCGAAAGCGUGGGGAGCAAACAGG
rnacentral:rRNA from 1 species